AUGGUACUCAUCCGUCAGAGAAAAGUGGGCGUACUGCGCAGGACGUACCAUGUGGGGGCGUUGGUUUCCUGUACCGCGGGGCCGGCGACCCGGACUACUGGACUGGUGGCGACAAGGAUUAGGUGCAUGUGCUUCUUCUCGCACGAGUCCAUUUCCCGUUCAUUGCCGGGAGACGAACAAGGUGAGCCGCGACAGCAGCCGGUGUGCUUCCUCCUCCCCCUGGAUCUGCUCAUGCCGUUCCCCGGAGCAACUACCUCGGCAGCGUUGGCCUCUGGAUCUAUCUUGGCUGCUAGGGGUGCAGGUGCGCACGACGCGCCGUGCGUUAUGGGCGGCGGCGCCGACGUUGUGCCCGAUUCGGCCAUUGGCUCGUCGGAUCCGGCCGUCGGCCCGGUCUCGCCGGACGUGCCUGAGUUGGAUCAAGGGGUGGGCUUGGCUGAUGGCGAAUUUUCCGGGGCAUCCUGCAAGACCUUCAGCUCUGGAGGCGGGGAUGUGGCGUCGGGAUUGGCGACUCCAGCCGGCGUCUCGCACAACUCCGCCCAGUCCAGCGGCUGCAGUGGCCCGGCGGAUUCGUGCACGACAUUCAGUUCAGGGGGCGUGGUCCAGCCGUCGGGAUUGGCGACUCCAGCCGUCGUCUCGCACAACUCCGUCCAGUCCAGCGGCAGCAGUGGUGCGGCGGAUUCGUGCACGACAUUCAGUUCUGGAGGCAUGGUCCUGCCGUCGGCACGGGUCGGCGACGGGACGCCGGCCGUCGUCUCGAGCUGCGCCGUGCAGUCCGCACGUCACAGCGGCCCAGCUUCGGCGAACACCACCAUCCGCGUAGGUUGGAAGCGCAGGCCAAGAGGUCCUAGUGCUCCAGACGAGAGGGCUGUAGUAGCUGAUCGUGUGCCGCCACUGGAAGCUGCUAUUCGAGGGUUAUAG
rnacentral:rRNA from 1 species